UAGUCAUAGCUUCAGGGAUCUAUUUUCUGCAUUCCGUGUCAUAGGAUGUGAUUUACGAAGAAGACCUGAUUUCAAUGCCAUGAUGGCCUCCUCCUUUGAUCCAAAUAUAACCUAUGUUUUCGUGAUUGACAAGUUGACUGGU